GUUUCCGUAGGUGAACCUGCGGAAGGAUCAUUACUGAAUUCAACAGUCAGGUUGUUGCUGGUUCCAAUAGGUUCAAGUGCACGCCAGGCUAUUGUCUUAUUUCCACCUGUGCACCUUUGUAGUCAAUGUUGGUUAUGUCCUAGUAAAUCUGUCAAAGGUUUGGGAUUUGGGUAUUAAUUGCCCUUUCCUAUGGAUAUUGACUAGCUUUGUCUACGUUUUUAUUUACACCCUCUGCAUGUCGAGAACGUAUAUAUUAUUGGUCGAAAGGCCUUUAAUCAUUACACAACUAUUGGCAACGGAUCUCUUGGCUCACGCAUCGAUGAAGAACGCAGCGAAAUGCGAUAAGUAAUGUGAAUUGCAGAUUUCAGUGAAUCAUCGAAUCUUUGAACGCACCUUGCACCUUCUGGUAUUCCGGAAGGUACACCUGUUUGAGUGUCAUUAAAUUCUCAACCAUUUCAGCUUUAUUGCUUGCUAUGGCUUGGAUGUGAGGGCUGCUGGCUAUUCUAGUGGUUGGCUCCCUUUAAAUGUAUUAGCUGGAGAUUAGUAAUAAAGUGUUUAAGCUCUUCAAUGCUUGAAUGUCUCCUGGUGUUGGUAAUUAUCUGCGCCGUUGGCUUAGUUGUUGAGUAUAAUAGCAUAUGAAAAUCUUUGCCUUCUAAUAGUCUCGAUUGUGAGACUAGUCCACUCUUGGGCUACUUAAUGACUAUUGUGACCUCAGAUCAGGUGGG
rnacentral:rRNA from 1 species